AUGAGCGGCGGCGGCGCAACAGUUGGGAGUGGUCGCCGGGGGGCCGCGCGGAGGCAGGGUCGACGCGCAGCGUGCGGGGCGUGGCAGCAGCGCGCGGGCUUUGACGCUGCCAUUUGGCGGGGACUGGUGGGAGAGAGUGGUUUGGAGGCCGGCGGGAGGGAUCACAGCGCACGCUGGCCCGGAGGGUGGAAGGAAGAGGAGUGCGGCGCACGCCGCUCCGACGGAAAGGGCAACCAACAGGAGCGCCGCAAG
rnacentral:lncRNA from 1 species